rnacentral:misc_RNA from 1 species
AGGCUCAGCAAUUGCUGGCCUAAUGUUUGCUUGGGCUAUAUUUCAGCAGUACUUCCCACAUCAAAUUCGGGACCAUUUUAGCAGGUAUGGUCAGAAAUUGCUGGGUCUUGUCUACCCUUAUCUCCAAAUUACCUUCCAUGAAUACACCGGAGAACGUCUCAAGCGCAGCGAGGUUUACUCCGCCAUUCAAAACUACCUCAGCGCCAACUCUUCCACGAAUGCCAAGAAGCUCAAAGCUGAUGUUGUUAAAGAUAACCAUUCUGUGGUUC